rnacentral:rRNA from 1 species
GUCUACGGCCAUACCACCCUGAACGCGCCCGAUCUCGUCUGAUCUCGGAAGCUAAGCAGGGUCGGGCCUGGUUAGUACUUGGAUGGGAGAUAGUACACAAUUGUUAGUACUACAGUUU